CGGCGGACGGGUGAGUAACGCGUGGGUAACCUACCCCAAAGUCCGGGAUAACAGCGGGAAACCGCUGCUAAUACCGGAUGCCUUUACCUUGGGGCAUCUUGAGGUAAAGAAAGGUAACGCUUUGGGAUGGGCCCGCGUCCCAUUAGCUAGUUGGUGAGGUAACGGCUCACCAAGGCGACGAUGGGUAGCCGGCCUGAGAGGGUGGACGGCCACACUGGGACUGAGACACGGCCCAGACUCCUACGGGAGGCAGCAGUAGGGAAUAUUGCGCAAUGGACGGAAGUCUGACGCAGCGACGCCGCGUGAGCGAUGAAGGUCUUCGGAUCGUAAAGCUCUGUCCUUGGGGAAGAAGGUCUUCGAACUUGACGGUACCCAAGAAGAAAGCCCCGGCUAACUACGUGCCAGCAGCCGCGGUAAUACGUAGGGGGCGAGCGUUGUCCGGAAUUACUGGGCGUA
rnacentral:rRNA from 1 species